rnacentral:rRNA from 1 species
UACGUAGGGUCCGAGCGUUGUCCGGAAUUACUGGGCGUAAAGAGCUCGUAGGCGGUUUGUCGCGUCGUCCGUGAAAACUUGGGGCUCAACCCCAAGCUUGCGGGCGAUACGGGCAGACUUGAGUACUGCAGGGGGAGACUGGAAUUCCUGGUGUAGCGGUGAAAUGCGUAGAUAUCGAGAGGAACACCAGUGGCGAAGGCGAGUCCCUGGACAACACCUGACACUGAGGCACGAAAGUUAGGGGAGCAAACAGG